rnacentral:tRNA from 1 species
GUCAUGGAUUAGAGGCAGAGUGUCUUCUUCACAUGUAGAAGGUCUGAGGUUCAAUCCCCGGUAUCUCCA